rnacentral:misc_RNA from 1 species
GAUGAAGAACGCAGCGAAAUGCGAUAAGUAAUGCGAAUUGCAGAAUCCGUGAGUCGUCGAAUCUUUGAACGCACAUUGCGCCCCUUGGUUAUUCCGAAGGGCAUGCCUGUUCGAGCGUCAUUAUCACCCCUCAAGCCCUGGCUUGGUGUUGGACUUUAGUUAUAGCUUUGCCUAUCAACUGGUCUCAAAGAUAGUGACGGCGCCCCAGAGGGAACCGGGUACGAGGAGCUUUUUACUAAGCAUGUAUCUGGGACGACUCUGGGCGACGGUCUUGUUAUACUUUUUACCUAAGUGUUGACCUCGGAUCAGGUAGGAAUACCCGCUGAACUUAAGCAUAUCAAUAAGCGGAGGA